CGCUUUCGCCAUGUGAAGACACAGCAAGAAGAUGGCUAUUUAUGAGGAAGUGGACCUUCACCAGCCUCCAAAUCUGCUGGUGUCUUGAUGUUGGACCUCCAGCCUCCAGGACUGAUAUAAUUGGAAAAAAAUUGGUUAUGUAACCAAGAUCUUCCUUGAAAUGUUCUGAGAGUGAUGCUCAUUUAUUCAGGUGUGACCAGCCCAUUAUAAGGAAUGAAGGUUGGCCUUAUCAAACCAAUGCUGGCAAAGCCCUGAGGAAAACUGGCCUGGUACCUGGUUCCCAGGGUCCCAACCUUACAGGAUUCUUGCUGAAGGCUGGAGGCUGGAAUCAUCUAGAAGCUUCUUCACUCACAUGUCUGCCUCAUGGGCUGUGAUAGCUGAAGGAUAGGAUUUGCUGACCAGAGCACCUUCAUGUGGCCUCUCCAUGUGGCUUGGACUUCUCAUAGCCUGGCAACUGGAUUCCAAGAAGGAGCACUUGGAAGCACCACGCCUUGGAGCUUCACAGAGCAUCUGGAUGGCUGUUUUGGCAGGAACUGCAGUGAGUGGUACCAAACUCUGUACUCAAUUUACUCCUCUGCAAAAUGGAGAUAAGAUGAUACCUUAUUCUGUUAUUGUGUAGACAGACGGAAUGAGGUGAUGAGGUAAUAUGCUUAGGAGCGUGUUUAGUAUUUCUGAAGUGCCCUAUGAACAUUAGUUCCAUUCCUGAGCCACUGUCCUAAUGGCUCCAUUCACAAGGAAUGUCACUGCAGCUCUCCCAGAAACGCCCCCCUGCCCUCCGCACACAGGCCACCCUCCUUCCAUCCCCCUCAUGGCCUGCCUCUAGGAAGCUAUUUCAGGGGGAUUUGUCUAUUUGUCAUAUAAAGGUUCUACGACUCAAGAGACCAAGAUGGAGUCAAUGGUAAUGGCAUGUGCAUACCUGUGUGACCCCCUCAGAAACGCAGGAUUUAUAGGGUGAUAAUGAUGAACCUGCUUUGUAGCCCUGCCGAUAACUGCAAACUAAGUCUCAUUUUCAGGGUUUCAGUUAGUUUCUAUAGCUCCAUGUUUCUAUUGCAACCUCCCUGGCCAUUUCCCC
rnacentral:lncRNA from 1 species